UACGUAGGGUGCGAGCGUUGUCCGGAAUUAUUGGGCGUAAAGGGCUCGUAGGCGGUUUGUCGCGUCGGGAGUGAAAACCUCGGGCUUAACUCGGGGCUUGCUUUCGAUACGGGCAGACUAGAGGUAUGCAGGGGAGAACGGAAUUCCUGGUGUAGCGGUGAAAUGCGCAGAUAUCAGGAGGAACAUCGGUGGCGAAGGCGGUUCUUUGGGCAUGAUCUGACGCUGAGGAGCGAAAGUGUGGGGAGCGAACAGG
rnacentral:rRNA from 1 species